UUAAAUUGAAGAGUUUGAUCAUGGCUCAGAUUGAACGCUGGCGGCAGGCCUAACACAUGCAAGUCGAACGGUAACAGGAAGCAGCUUGCUGUUUCGCUGACGAGUGGCGGACGGGUGAGUAAUGUCUGGGAAACU
rnacentral:rRNA from 2 species